rnacentral:rRNA from 1 species
UACGUAGGGUGCAGGCGUUAAUCGGAAUUACUGGGCGUAAAGCGUGCGCAGGCGGUUUGCUAAGACAGGUGUGAAAUCCCCGGGCUUAACCUGGGAACUGCGCUUGUAACUGGCAAGCUUGAGUGUGGCAGAGGGGGGUGGAAUUCCACGUGUAGCAGUGAAAUGCGUAGAGAUGUGGAGGAACACCGAUGGCGAAGGCAGCCCCGUGGGCUAACACUGACGCUCAUGCACGAAAGCGUGGGGAGCAAACAGG